UUCUCCCUCUUGUCCUGGAGAGACCGUGGCGAGCGGUCGUGCUUCCUCCCACGUCUUAACUUAACGAUGACUUCUGCAAGAUUAAUCUUCAGUACGUAGGAGUGCUGAUGAAGAUGGCUAAUUCCAGCUAUGUCCGGCACACCUGAUAUGGUAACAUUAAGAUGUCAGGCUACCACCGCAAACUACAGAUGGCGAAAUGCUGGUCUUCACUGUGUGGACCUUAAGCAUGUUAUCUGAGGCAUCUAUGGUGACAGGAGAUGCACCUGAUCUAAUCCUUUGUUUCCCGUGCUGAUCAGGAGAUAAGCAGCCGCUGUAAUGGAGCAAACACAUGAGCGUCAUCCUCAUCUCAUCCCUGGUUACAGAGCCAGUUGAUUGACCAGGUGUCUAAGGGAAAACCUCAUUUGAAAGUGUUGCUGAAGCAGAUGGGGUCACAGGUUGACAGAGACCUGACUUAACAGAUUUUUUUUUUUUUUAAUAAAAUUUGUAAGAAAAAUG